UACGUAGGGGGCGAGCGUUGUCCGGAAUCAUUGGGCGUAAAGCGCGCGCAGGCGGCCGCGAGAGCCCGGCGUGAAAGCCCCCGGCUCAACCGGGGGAGGCCGUCGGGGACCUCGUGGCUGGAGGCCGGCAGGGGUGAGUGGAAUUCCCGGUGUAGUGGUGGAAUGCGUAGAGAUCGGGAGGAACACCAGUGGCGAAGGCGGCUCACUGGGCCGGACCUGACGCUGAGGCGCGACAGCGUGGGGAGCAAACAGG
rnacentral:rRNA from 1 species